rnacentral:rRNA from 1 species
AAGAGAGUGCAAGAGAACGUGAAACCGACGUAAUGGAAGCGGAUGGAGCCGACGUAUCUGAUACGUAUUCAAUCACGUCUCGUUGCGAUCUGCGACGUGGUAUUCCGCAAGGUUGCCUAGUUGUAGUUGUUGUUGCGAUACGUGAUGCAUUUGCGUACGGAGUGCGCCGAGUGGGUUGAUAUUGCUGUUGGAUGUCAACAAAGAGGACCUCAUUUCGGUGUGGAACCCUGAGUUGGCGGACGGUGGAUAAUGUUGACUCGUAUAUGAAUACUGGUGAAUUCGCGAUUAGUCUCUAUAGUGAAACAAGUCUUGGCAUGGCACAUGUGUUAUGUCUAAAUUUGGUGUGCUAUGUAUGUUUGUUGCCCAUGUAUUCGACUCGGUGUAUAGUCGGUCACCCAUUUGACCCGUCUUGAAACACGGACCAAGGAGUUUAAGGUGUACGCAAGUCAUUGGGCUUAUAAAACUCAAAGGCGUAAUGAAAGUGAGAUACUUGGUGUCUGUGAUGUGAGUAGUUGUUGUUUCGACGUCAACUAUGCAACAUCACCCCAUGGCUAGGGCUUGCUCUGUCGUGGAGGUUGAGCGUACGCGUUGAGACCCGAAAGAUGGUGAACUAUGCCUGAACAGGAUAAAGUCAGAGGAAACUCUGAUGGAAGUCCGAAGCGGUUCUGACGUGCAAAUCCGAUCGUGGAGAUUUGGGUAUAGGGGCGCAAGAC